rnacentral:rRNA from 1 species
GUGGGGAAUCUUAGACAAUGGGGGAAACCCUGAUCUAGCCAUGCCGCGUGAGCGAUGAAGGCCUUAGGGUUGUAAAGCUCUUUCAGCUGGGAAGAUAAUGACUGUACCAGCAGAAGAAGCCCCGGCUAACUCCGUGCCAGCAGCCGCGGUAAUACGGAGGGGGCUAGCGUUGUUCGGAAUUACUGGGCGUAAAGCGCACGUAGGCGGAUCAGAAAGUCAGAGGUGAAAUCCCAGGGCUCAACCUUGGAACUGCCUUUGAAACUCCUGGUCUUGAGGUCGAGAGAGGUGAGUGGAAUUCCGAGUGUAGAGGUGAAAUUCGUAGAUAUUCGGAGGAACACCAGUGGCGAAGGCGGCUCACUGGCUCGAUACUGACGCUGAGGUGCGAAAGCGUGGGGAGCAAACAGGAUUAGAUACCCGUGUAGUCC